rnacentral:rRNA from 1 species
AGAGUUUGAUCCUGGCUCAGAACGAACGCUGGCGGCAAACCUAACACAUGCAAGUCGAGCGAGGUAGCAAUACCUAGCGGCGGACGGGUGAGUAACGCGUGGGAACGUACCCUUUGGUUCGGAAUAGCCCCGGGAAACUGGGAGUAAUACCGGAUACGGUCGAGAGACGAAAGAUUUAUAACCGAAGGAUCGGCCCGCGUUGGAUUAGGUAGUUGGUGGGGUAAUGGCCUACCAAGCCGACGAUCCAUAGCUGGUUUGGGAGGAUGAUCACCCACACUGGGACUGAGACACGGCCCAGACUCCUACGGGAGGCAGCAGUGGGGAAUUUUAUCCAAUGGGCGCAAGCCUGAUCUACCCAUGCCGCGUUUCCUCUUUUCCUUAGGGUUGUAAAGAUCUCUCAGUGGGGAAGAUAAUGAC